GAUCAGAGUAUUCUGUCUCAAAAAUGAUAGAAAUUUAUUUCUUCCUCAGGUAACUGUUUAUUGUUGGCUGUUCUGGGACGGUGGAAGGCCUCUACUCCAUGCAAUCAUUCAGGAAACCAAGCUGAUGGAAGCUCUGCAAUCUCCAACCAGUUGUUCUGUUCAUCCUUGACACCUUCAUCCUUUGGGAAGGGGGACAGCAUCGAAGGGCUCAGGAGGUUGUGCCAGUCUAGCCCUUUUUAUCAUUUUACCAUUUCCACCCUUUUUCUGUUGGAAAGGACAUAGUCAUUUAGCCACAUAACUGCGAAUGAAUCUAGGAAUCAUGGAGGAAAGGGUGAAUGGAUUUUAAUGGACAAUUAGCAGUCUCCGACAUGAGAUUUGGGAGAGGCCAACAGUGCUAAAACAAUAAUUUUUAAAAAUGUAUUUAGAAGUUGAGAGAAGGUAGAAAUCAGCGUGGAACAAAAUCUUCGGGAAGAGAUGGGAUGUGAUGGAACAAAAAACUGGAUAAAUGAAGAAAAAAGAAAUACAACUCACUCAAUAAAUACAUAUGGGUGCACUGUAUUUUGGAGAAAGAAUAUGUUUGCAAAGCUUUUUAAAUUAAAUCUUCAUAAGAAUGUGGGAGUAAAUGCCAAAGGAAUUCGUGAGUACCUAGUUUAAUGAUAAUCCAAAACAAACUUUAAGAAAACAAUGGAGAAAAAGACUUGUGGCUUCAAGGAUAAGAGUAAGUAUUCUUUGAAAUUUGAGUUGGUGAAUACUAGAUUUAAAUUUAUAAAAAAAAAUUAAGAGAUUUAAA
rnacentral:lncRNA from 1 species